rnacentral:rRNA from 1 species
UACGAAGGGGGCUAGCGUUGCUCGGAAUCACUGGGCGUAAAGCGCACGUAGGCGGAUUUCUAAGUCAGGGGUGAAAUCCUGGAGCUCAACUCCAGAACUGCCUUUGAUACUGGCGAUCUUGAGUUCGGGAGAGGUGAGUGGAACUGCGAGUGUAGAGGUGAAAUUCGUAGAUAUUCGCAAGAACACCAGUGGCGAAGGCGGCUCACUGGCCCGAUACUGACGCUGAGGUGCGAAAGCGUGGGGAGCAAACAGG